UAGCUAGUUGGUGGGGUAAGGGCCUACCAAGGCGACGAUAGGUAGCUGGUCUGAGAGGAUGACCAGCCACACUGGAACUGAGACACGGUCCAGACUCCUACGGGAGGCAGCAGUGGGGAAUAUUGGACAAUGGGGGCAACCCUGAUCCAGCAAUGCCGCGUGUGUGAAGAAGGCCUGAGGGUUGUAAAGCACUUUCAGUGGGGAGGAGGGUUGAUAGGUUAAGAGCUAAUUAACUGGACGUUACCCACAGAAGAAGCACCGGCUAACUCCGUGCCAGCAGCCGCGGUAAUACGGAGGGUGCGAGCGUUAAUCGGAAUUACUGGGCGUAAAGGGUGCGUAGGUGGUUGAUUAAGUUAUCUGUGAAAUUCCUGGGCUUAACCUGGGACGGUCAGAUAAUACUGGUUGACUCGAGUAUGGGAGAGGGUAGUGGAAUUUCCGGUGUAGCGGUGAAAUGCGUAGAGAUCGGAAGGAACACCAGUGGCGAAGGCGGCUACCUGGCCUAAUACUGACACUGAGGCACGAAAGCGUGGGGAGCAAACAGGAUUAGAUACCCUGGUAGUCCACGCUGUAAACGAUGUCAACUAGCUGUUGGUUAUAUGAAAAUAAUUAGUGGCGC
rnacentral:rRNA from 1 species